rnacentral:rRNA from 1 species
GAUGAACGCUGGCGGCGUGCCUAAUACAUGCAAGUCGAGCGAACGGAUGAGAAGCUUGCUUCUCUGAUGUUAGCGGCGGACGGGUGAGUAACACGUGGAUAACCUACCUAUAAGACUGGGAUAACUUCGGGAAACCGGAGCUAAUACCGGAUAAUAUUUUGAACCGCAUGGUUCAAAAGUGAAAGACGGUCUUGCUGUCACUUAUAGAUGGAUCCGCGCUGCAUUAGCUAGUUGGUAAGGUAACGGCUUACCAAGGCAACGAUGCAUAGCCGACCUGAGAGGGUGAUCGGCCACACUGGAACUGAGACACGGUCCAGACUCCUACGGGAGGCAGCAGUAGGGAAUCUUCCGCAAUGGGCGAAAGCCUGACGGAGCAACGCCGCGUGAGUGAUGAAGGUCUUCGGAUCGUAAAACUCUGUUAUUAGGGAAGAACAUAUGUGUAAGUAUCUGUGCACAUCUUGACGGUACCUAAUCAGAAAGCCACGGCUAACUACGUG